rnacentral:rRNA from 1 species
UACCUGCAGAAGAAGCCCCGGCUAACUACGUGCCAGCAGCCGCGGUAAUACGUAGGGCGCAAGCGUUGUCCGGAAUUAUUGGGCGUAAAGAGCUCGUAGGCGGCUUGUCGCGUCUGCUGUGAAAGCCCGGGGCUUAACUCCGGGUGUGCAGUGGGUACGGGCAGGCUAGAGUGCAGUAGGGGUAACUGGAAUUCCUGGUGUAGCGGUGAAAUGCGCAGAUAUCAGGAGGAACACCGAUGGCGAAGGCAGGUUACUGGGCUGUUACUGACGCUGAGGAGCGAAAGCAUGGGGAGCGAACAGGAUUAGAUACCCUGGUAGUCCAUGCCGUAAACGUUGGGCACUAGGUGUGGGGGACAUUCCACGUUUUCCGCGCCGUAACUAACGCAUUAAGUGCCCCGCCUGGGGAGUACGGCCGCAAGGCUAAAACUCAAAGGAAUUGACGGGGGCCCGCACAAGCGGCGGAGCAUGCGGAUUAAUUCGAUGCAACGCGAAGAACCUUACCAAGGCUUGACAUACACCGGAUCGUUCCAGAGAUGGUUCUUCCCUUUUGGGCUGGUGUACAGGUGGUGCAUGGUUGUCGUCAGCUCGUGUCGUGAGAUGUUGGGUUAAGUCCCGCAACGAGCGCAACCCUCGUUCUAUGUUGCCAGCACGUGAUGGUGGGGACUCAUAGGAGACUGCCGGGGUCAACUCGGAGGAAGGUGGGGAUGACGUCAAAUCAUCAUGCCCCUUAUGUCUUGGGCUUCACGCAUGCUACAAUGGCCGGUACAAUGGGUUGCGAUACUGUGAGGUGGAGCUAAUCCCAAAAAGCCGGUCUCAGUUCGGAUUGGGGUCUGCAACUCGACCCCAUGAAGUCGGAGUCGCUAGUAAUCGCAGAUCAGCAACGCUGCGGUGAAUACGUUCCCGGGCCUUGUACACACCGCCCGUCAAGUCACGAAAGUUGGUAACACCC